rnacentral:tRNA from 1 species
UGGCUCAGUGGAUAGAGCGUCGGCCUGCAGACUGAAGGGUCCCGGGUUCGAAUCCCGG